CCUGAAUUAAUGCAUCUCUAUGAGGAAAACUUAGCGUCCCCAUGCUUACUGUGCAGCCCUGAGCCAGGAAGCCUCUCCAGUGGCCAUCUGAGGAGUGGCCACUUGGAGGUGUCCCUAGGGGGAAAUGUAAACACUGCUUUUUCUUUGAAAAGGCAGUGUUUGCAUGAAAAUCAAAUAAUAGUUUUAGUUUUAAUAAUAAAAGGCAAU